rnacentral:rRNA from 1 species
AAACGGCCCCCUCCAGUACGAAAGGACCCGGGGGGCAAAGCCAAUACCACAGGCACGCUUUAAAGAAAAAUAUAAAUCAAUUAAAUAUCACAAUACUACCAAAUUUAAGCCCAGAAAAGGCUAGUUAAGAACCAACAGACACACCAACCUUAACAC